GCCCAGCUUCAAGCACAUUAGAUGUGGGUCACAGUGAAAGUGGGACCCUUCUCCGCCGUAAAAAGAGAGCUGCUGCUGAUAGUCCUGGUCGUGAUGGUGGUAGGGGUACAGACUCUCACGCUGAAACAUGAGCGCGUGGGCAGAAGUAGCUUCUGGGUGUGUGGAACAGAUAGUAUCCGCUGCAGAGGUGGUUGCGGCGGCGACGACGGCUGUGCAAAACGUGCUGCUGCCAUUGGUGGAAUUGCCCCAGUCGAAUCUUGAAGAAUUAGGCUCCCAAACAAUAUUGGCAUUUUGGCUUCUGUCUCGAUUGCUGUGAGCAGUGUACAAGUUUGCGCCAUUUUCCAUCUCUAGAACUUGCUUCUCUUUGUACUGCAGUUACGUUGAAUAGGUAGCUUAUUUGCUGUUCUUGAUCAUAAAAAGAUGCCUGCAACGAUUCCAACCAGUAGGGAUCUAUUGGUUGCUUGUAUUAAAAAAGAAAAAAAAUGAGAGAGAGAGAGAGACAAACACAGGGAG
rnacentral:misc_RNA from 1 species